AGCGAACGCUGGCGGCAGGCCUAACACAUGCAAGUCGAACGGAUCCUUCGGGAGUAGUGGCGGACGGGUGAGUAACACGUGGGAACGUGCCCUUUGGUUCGGAACAACUCAGGGAAACUUGAGCUAAUACCGGAUGUGCCCUUCGGGGGAACGAUUUAUCGCCAUUUGAGUGGCCGGCGUCUGAUUAGGUAGUUGGAGAGGUCAAGGCUCACCAAGGCGACGAUCAGUAGCGGGUCUGAGAGGAUGAUCAGCCACAUUGGGACUGAGACACGGCCCAAACUCCUACGGGAGGCAGCAGUAGGAAAUCUUGCGCAAUGGGCGAAAGCCUGACGCAGCCAUGCCGCGUGAAUGAUGAAGGUCUUAGGAUUGUAAAAUUCUUUCACCGGGGACGAUAAUGACGGUACCCGGAGAAGAAGCCCCGGCUAACUUCGUGCCAGCAGCCGCCGUAA
rnacentral:rRNA from 1 species